rnacentral:rRNA from 1 species
GACGAACGCUGGCGGCGUGCCUAAUACAUGCCAGUAGAACGCACAGUUUAUACCGUAGCUUGCUACACCAUAGACUGUGAGUUGCGAACGGGUGAGUAACGCGUAGGUAACCUGCCUGGUAGCGGGGGAUAACUAUUGGAAACGAUAGCUAAUGCCGCAUAAUAUUGAUUAUUGCAUGAUAAUUGAUUGAAAGAUGCUAUUGCAUCACUACCAGAUGGACCUGCGUUGUAUUAGCUAGUAGGUGAGGUAACGGCUCACCUAGGCGACGAUACAUAGCCGACCUGAGAGGGUGAUCGGCCACACUGGGACUGAGACACGGCCCAGACUCCUACGGGAGGCAGCAGUAGGGAAUCUUCGGCAAUGGACGAAAGUCUGACCGAGCAACGCCGCGUGAGUGAAGAAGGUUUUCGGAUCGUAAAGCUCUGUUGUAAGAGAAGAACGGGUGUGAGAGUGGAAAGUUCACACUGUGACGGUAUCUUACCAGAAAGGGACGGCUAACUACGUG